UGAGGCAGAAUAUUGUUGAAAUUGCACUUAAGAAAAUCCAGGUCAUAUUGGGCUGAAUGUGGAAGUUGAAUUAAAAUGAGUUUGACACAUCUGCUUUAGAGAAUUCUGCUAAAUAUAACAAAAUAUGAAAUAUGGAUGCAUGCUUUAAGAAAUGAAAAUUAAAGCACUUUGGAGUUAUUAGGUUGAAACGCGUUAAAUCACUGGGAUGGUCUGAGUUUUCUUACAAAUUAGAAAAGUGAGGUGCUGCACAUGUCUGUUAAUUCAAGCCACAAAACCACAAAAACUGAGCCACUAACAGCAAAUUCACAUUUAGAAAAGAACAGCAAUGAGAUGUUUAAAGGAAAAAGUGGGUAUCUGUCGGUAUAAAGUGGUUAUUUUUCCUCUUGAAUUUGGUUCCAAAUUCCUUUUCUGACAUUUAGAGGUUCGUGUGUGAAAUAAUGACUUUCAUGUAACAGGUGACACAUUGAAGUUCAGGUUAGGCUGUUCGGUGUUUCUCAUAUAGAGGUGGAUAGUGUACGUAAGCACAGUUUGUUAUGGCGUUUAGUUUUUACAGCUCGGUUCUGCUCAGUGUUCAGAGUUCAGGAGUGUUAUCAAGUAAUGCACCUUAAAAAAAAUACAAAUAAGCGGUAGAGUUUUAGUUUUGCUUUUUGCUAGUUUUGCUCUGUUUGUUUCUGUUGAGCACAAAACAAAGACAGGAUUGACUGUUUGGUCCUAGUUUUCCCUGUGGAGACCUAAAACAAACAAAAAAA